rnacentral:rRNA from 15 species
GCUUACGGCCAUACCACCCUGAAAGAGCCCGAUCUCGUCCGAUCUCGGAAGCUAAGCAGGGUCGGGCCUGGUUAGUACUUGGAUGGGAGACCGCCUGGGAAUACCAGGUGCUGUAAGCC